rnacentral:rRNA from 1 species
CGCGUAGGCGGGUCAGCAAGUCCGGGGUGAAAGCUUUCGGCUCAACCGGAAAAGGGCCUUGGAUACUGCUGGUCUGGAGGAAGGUAGGGGCGUGUGGAACUUCCGGUGGAGCGGUGAAAUGCGUAGAUAUCGGAAGGAACGCCGGUGGCGAAAGCGACACGCUGGACCUUUUCUGACGCUGAGGCGCGAAAGCCAGGGGAGCAAACGG